AGUGCGUUGUCGUUGAGUUGUUCUGAAAUCGCUGCGUUAGGGGCGACUGCAACCAAGCGUUGCGGCAAGUUACGGUGGGAGCUUCUGUCCGUGCUGUGUGAUUGCGACGAGGGGACCGCCGCCAGCAGCAGCGUAUCGCCAAUUUCGUCUUUCGGUUUGCACUGCAUCUUUCAUUGUGAUAUGGGAGAUCGCAACGGACAGAGACGACCAGAUGCAUACGAACCACUACCAGCGGGGACCUGUGACCUGUGCCAUAUUUCUCUUAACGUCUCAGGUAUUCAAGAAAUGCCAACAUCCAGAAGACGCCAUCUUAUCCAGCACGUUAUGGGUACACUCUGGUGGCUCCCGCCUUUGCAUCCUACCACCACUGUGUCCUGACUACGUCCACUAGAGAGUUCGAAGCCUUUGGCGGCUCCUGCCACUGCGUCCUGCCACCACCGUGUCCUGACUACGUCCACUAGGGA